GCGGCGCAGCGUAUAAAAAGGCUCUCCCCCGUCAAAACUGUCUCUUUCCAACGUCUGCCAACAUUACAAACUUCCCACGAAGACCCGUGGACAUGCAAAAUGGUCCAGUUGGUGUAAAGAUCCCUGACUGCAAGGAGAGGUAAAGGCCGGAUACCACAAAAGAUGAUACAUGAGCAACACACCACAUAUGAUGUGCAUAGAGGAACAGAUGACAUCUUGGGUCUAGUUGACAUGAUGGUGCCUCUGAUUGCUGUAUGAGCAGAUGUUAUCCUGCCUUCCACGGAAGAAUCCAGUUAACCAGUCAAGCAUGGCAGACUUGGAGGGUUCUGUUACAGAGAACAAGGAAAAUCACUUAAGAUGUCGUCAUGCCUUCCAAGGAAGACUCCAGUUUACCAGUCAAGCAUGACAGACUUGGAGGUCCAGUUGGUGUAAAGAUCCAUGACUGCAAGGACAGGUUUCUUGGAAGUAUGCAGCUGUUCAAGUCAAGGACUUUCAAAGUGAGAUACAUGAGCAACACAACACCACAUAUGAUGUGCAUAGAGGAACAGAUGACAUCUUGGGUCUAGUUGACAUGAUGGUGCCUCUGAUUGCUGUAUGAGCAGAUGUAGGCCUCCUUUCCAUGGAAGACUCCAGUUUACCGGUCAAGCAUGGCAGACUUGGCGAUGUGCAAAGAGGAACAGAUGCCAUCCUGGGUCGAGUAGACAUGAUGGUGCAUCUGAUGGCUGUAUGAGCAGAUGUCGUCAUGCCUUCCACGGAAGACUCCAGUUUACCAGUCAAGCAUGACAGACUUGGAGGUCCAGUUGGUGUAAAGAUCCUUGACUGCAAGGACAGGUUUCUUGGAAGUAUGCAGCUGUUCAAGUCAAGGAUUUUCAAAGUGAGGUAAAGGCCGCAUACCACAAAAGAUGGCCCUUUUUAACUGAGUGGUUACUUACCCAUGGUUUUGUUUGGUGUUUUUAGAUACAUGAGCAACACCACGUUUGAUGUGCAAAGAGGAACAGAUGCCAUCUUGGGUUGAGUAGACAUGAUGGUGCUUCUGAUGGCUGUAUGAGCAGAUGUUGUCCUGCCUUCCACGGAAGACUAGUUUACCAGUCAAGCAUGGCAGACUUGGGGGGAACAUUGCUGGAUUAACUUGGAAACUGAAGAGCUAUCUGGAUGUCUGGCUGGCCACUGUGUUCCUGUAUGUUUAAACUGCAUCAUCUUGUACAUUAAACUGCAUUUUCAAAUAAACCAUUUAUUCCAUA